AUGUCGUGCUUAUCCCUUGUUCCCAUCCUCCUGUUUCUCAAUUCCCUCAUUCCUGCCCUCACACAAGCCACUGCUGAAAAACAUUCCAUUCGCAACUCAUUAUUUUUUCAGUCUGACAACGAUUGUCACUUUGGCUCCCCUAAGUCAAAAAUAAAAUACCAGCUUUUUUUCUUCUUCUUUUUAUCCCACUUCAUAUUCUCCAGCUUUGUCCUAAGACAUCUUCAUUACUCACAGUUCUUCAUGUCACAGGAAGGUGGGCUGCUUUUAUUGCAAUGGAUUUGGAAACACAACCUCUCUCUCUCCUCUGGAGCAGACCGUGUUUCUGGCCUGAAACACGAAGGUGACCCGAGGCCGAACUAG
ensembl:lncRNA